GGGGAUGACAGGCUUCGACGGAAGAGGCUGGUCCCGGACUGCGAGCCGAGAGGCGCCGAUCUCGUAAAAUCAGCGCAAAACCUAAAGUGCCAACCGCACUGACUAUGCUGCUCUUCCUCUCGCUGCCUAGUGCAGGGAGUGCAUGAGCGCACAUCGGCCCCCAAGGGGCCGCGUCCUCUCGCUUCCGCUCUCUGGCCGGAGGCGGGAAGGGCGACACAAAGCCAGAGUGCGGUGCACGAGGCCGCUAAGUGCGCCUAAGAGGGGCUUUCGGGCCCCAGCGGCUGGUUGAGCGAACCCCUGGGUCGCUUGUGGGGCGCUCAACGAGGAGAAACAAGCGACUACGCUCGUAGAGGUCCGCGGGCUUAAUCUUUCGGACGCGGGUUCGAUUCCCGCCAUCUCCACCA
rnacentral:tmRNA from 1 species